rnacentral:lncRNA from 1 species
UUAGCUCAUUCUCCAAAUGUCGAUAUUUGAUAGUUUAUUGAUGUACUUUUUUAUUUUAAAUAUUUUAUAAUUUUAAUUUAAUAUAAUAAAAUAAUAAUUUUUUUAUUAUUUUAUUAUGUAAAUUUUUUAUUUUAAUUUUUUUAAUUUAUAAAAAAUAUUAUACAUAUAAAUUUAAAAUAUAUAUUCAUAAUUUUUUUUUAAAAAUAUGACUAAAUUAUUAGCG